rnacentral:rRNA from 1 species
AGCAGCCGCGGUAAUUCCAGCUCCAAUAGCGUAUAUUAAAGUUGUUGCAGUUAAAAAGCUCGUAGUUGAAUUUCGGGGUCAGUAGAUUGGUCGUGCCACUGGUAUGUACUGGUCCUUACUGGCUCCUCCUUCCUGAUGAACCGUAAUGCCAUUAAUUUGGUGUUGCGGGGAGACUGGACUGUUACUUUGAAAAAAUUAGAGUGUUUAAAGCAGGCUAACGCUUGAAUACAUUAGCAUGGAAUAAUGAAAUAGGACGUUCGAUCUUAUUUUGUUGGUUUCUAGGAUUGACGUAAUGAUUAAUAGGGAUAGUUGGGGGCAUUAGUAUUCAAUUGUCAGAGGUGAAAUUCUUGGAUUUAUUGAAGACUAACUACUGCGAAAGCAUUUGCCAAGGAUGUUUUCAUUAAUCAAGAACGAAAGUUAGGGGAUCGAAGACGAUCAGAUACCGUCGUA